UACAACAUGCCCGUCAUGAGGUUCAAGCCCCAAAUGGACUGUGCCCCCAUAUGUAGGACUGACUAUCAUGCUAUGUGUAAUCAGUAAAGGCAGAGUGAACCGGUACGAAGCGGAGUAGUGGAUCUUUGUCAUCUCAACGUCCAGGCAUUCAGGAACACCUGGAAGGGUACAUUUGGAACCGUUUGAGCUUAGAAGCCUUACCUAGGGUAGGGGGACGAAACUAAGGUCAUGAAAUAAGUUGGUGGACAAUGUUUUAGGAAGUUUAACGCCCUAUGUUGCCAGUUCGAACGAAUCUAAAUUGCUCUGAUCUGUGGUGGUUUAUUUAUACUACGAAAAGUUAUUGAUUUGGUAUAAUAUUUUGUGGCGUUCUAAUUAUAAUACGUGGUGAUUGAUUUUCCUAUUGAUCCGUGUCCUGCAACUGACAGCAUCUGAGAUCGUGGAAGGCCGUUAAGAGUUUCGGGAGCGAUCGGGCUACCGAGAAGGGCACUCGAUCAUAGGAGGAGGUUUUGAUGGCACCUUGCUAAGGUGCAUUCUACAUUUCCCCUCCUUGUAAAAAAAAGAAAUUAAAUUCUAAAACAAAUCCCUUUCUAAGAUUUUGUUUUUUAGGCAGUGCAGUUAAAAACAUAGAUUUUUUUUAUCGGGGGUUUUCCUCUGCGGUAAGUAAUUCUAGAUCAUAGCGAUCGGCUUGCACGAGAUGAUAACACAAUUUCCUUUCCUAACAUUUUCUAUUUGCAUGCGUCCUGCCGCACGAGCUCGCCGACCUACGCGUCGAUCCGGUUUUAAGUGGCAAGCGGGAUAAGGGAUAGAUCUAGUACACCGCAUACCAUCCGACCGAUUUCCCGAAGCGGUAGCACACCUCACUAGUCGAGGGGGUUUUCCCCUGCGGUAAGUAUUGAUACAUCAUAGCGAUCGGUUUGCACGAGACAAUGUAGGCAGUUUAUUAAUAUUUUUUAUUUUUUAUUUUUCUUACUAUUUGUAUGCCUCUUGCUGCACGAGCUCGUCGACCUACGCGUCGAUCCGGAUUUAAGUGGCAGCGGGAAAAGGAAUCUACAACGCCAACCAUCCGACAGUGUUCACGAUAAGAAAGGAAACGUCUCUUAUCGUGGGGUUUCCCCUGCGAGAAUCGUUUUUCAGUACACAUGCCACAACACACUAUCUGUAACUAACCACAUGCUCAUUUACUUUUUACUGUAUCUCUUAUGGUUGUUUAAACGUUAUUUUGUUUGUUUUACAUUCUAUUUCAUUUUCUAAGGUAUUCGUUUUCCUUCAUCUAACUGUAAGAAACAGUCACUGUGCAACAUCCUACGAUAGCCAAGCAUAUAGACGAAACAUUAAUGUUGUAUCAUGCUAACCCGUGACAGGCAAGUGCUCAGUAACUCACGCACGUCCUUCAACGCACACAUCGUGAAACAUCUGGUGAAUGAGAUUGCUGAGCAAAACACUCACCAAACGGAAUAGAAUGGAUGAGUUUAUUUUAUGCAUCAUGUACCUCCCUUUUGCCUUAAAAUGUGACCAGUGCCUUUUUUUCUUUUGUUUUACGUUAGCAUAGGAUUAGUAUUAGUAUUAGUUUGGUUUAAUUAGAUAUAAGAUUUUAUUGUGCUUAAUAUACGCAUGGACUAUUGAAACAUAUAAUUAUGUGUUUGUUGAGCAACACCAUUUGGGUAAAAAAAAUUAUUUACGUAUACUCGUGAGGAAGCACGCACUUUGAGUAAUAAUUAACAUCAGAUUUGCUAAUCAUAAAACCAAACGUUGUGUUAGAGCGUAUGUGAGGCCGUUGUUUGUUACGCUCGUUAUGUUGCCUGCGGUUCUCGGAUCGAACAAAAUGCUGACAAGACAGAUGGUUAUAGACAAUCGAUCCUAGCACUUGCAGCAGGUGCGUAAUCGAUAGAACAGUAUUUCUUCUUGGUCGCGAUCGUCCGAUGUUCUCCGCUGGUUCAGCGGAUCAAUGGUCAAUUCAAGCGGUGAGGUGAGCCUUGCGUGUCACUAUGGUGCACGUAACUAUAUAUUAACAACAUCUUACAGUAUUAUUAAAGGCCAUGGUUACGUUAUAGUUCAAACCACGCAACAAGCAUAAGGAAACUGUAAUUGAUAUUUGAAUCAGUUAACAAAUUAUCUAAUGGAACAGAUAAUGAAGUUGAUUUGGAAAUGUGUACACAAUCAUGCACACAAUCGUGACAUUAUCGCAAGUGUAUAUUGCACUAUAACGUUAUUUACAUGUUAAAAUGAUUCAUUAUACAAACACAUAUAUAUAUUUAUUGCAUCAAAUAUACUACACAUUUUUUUAUCUGAAAUUGUAUAAAUAUAUCGCAUUACUCACCAA